rnacentral:rRNA from 1 species
ACUGCUCAGUAACACGUGGACAACCUGCCCAAAGGUCCGGGAUAACCCCGGGAAACUGGGGAUAAUACCGGAUAAAUCACAAGUACUGGAAGGUUUUGUGGUUGAAACUUCCGGGGCCUUUGGAUGGGUCUGCGGCUGAUUAGGUUGUUGCCGGUGUAACGUACCGUCAAGCCUGUAAUCAGUACGGGUUGUGGGAGCAAGAGCCCGGAGAUGGAUUCUGAGACACGAAUCCAGGCCCUACGGGGCGCAGCAGGCGCGAAAACUCUACAAUGCAGGCAACUGCGAUAGGGGAACAUCGAGUGAUACUCAUCUUGGGUGUCUGUCCUCCCGUCUAAAAAACGGGAGUUAGCAAGGGCCGGGCAAGACCGGUGCCAGCCGCCGCGGUAAUACCGGCGGCUCGAGUGGUGGCCGAUAUUAUUGAGUCUAAAGGGUCCGUAGCCGGCUUUGCAAGUCUUUUGGGAAAUCCAGCGGCUUAACCGUUGGUCGUCCGGGAGAUACUACAUUGCUUGGGACUGGGAGAGGUAGGAGGUACUCAGGGGGUAGGAGUGAAAUCCUGUAAUCCUUUGGGGACCACCGGUGGCGAAGGCGUCCUACCAGAACAGGUCCGACGGUGAGGGACGAAAGCUAGGGGCACGAACCGGAUUAGAUACCCGGGUAGUCCUAGCCGUAAACGAUGCUCGCUAGGUGUCACAACAAUCGUGAAUUGUUGUGGUGCCGUAGGGAAGCCGUGAAGCGAGCCACUUGGGAAGUACGACCGCAAGGUUGAAACUUAAAGGAAUUGGCGGGGGAGCAC